GACGAACGCUGGCGGCGUGCUUAACACAUGCAAGUCGAACGGAAAGGCCCUGCUUUUGUGGGGUGCUCGAGUGGCGAACGGGUGAGUAACACGUGAGUAACCUGCCCUUGACUGUGGGAUAACUUCAUGAAACUUGGGCUAAUACCGGAUAGGAGCUCCUGCUGCAUGGUGGGGGUUGGAAAGUUUCGGCGGUUGGGGAUGGACUAGCGGCUUAUCAGGUUGUUGGAGGGGUAGUGGCUUACCAAGGCUUUGAAGGGUAGCAUGCCUGAGAGGGUGACCGGCCACACUGGGCCUGAGCUACGGCACAGACUCCUACGGUAGGCAGCACUGCGGAAUAUUGCACUAUGGGCGGAAGCCUGAUGCAGCAACGCCGCGUGCGGGAUGACGGCCUUCGGGUUGUAAACCGCUUUCGCCUGUGACGAAGCGUGAGUGACGGUAAUGGGUAAAUAAGCACCGGCUAACUCCGUG
rnacentral:rRNA from 1 species